rnacentral:rRNA from 1 species
AUGAAAAUCCUGAGCUAGAACUGUCAGGGUUUGGGUCAACCUCGCAGAGUUCAAGAGCUUGUGUGUCUUUCAAAGACGCACCAACCCAAUGUUAUCUUUCUUUCCGGGACAAGAAAAAUUAAAGAAUAUGUUGAAUGUUUGCAUUAUCAUUUGGGUAUGAAAAAUGUGUUUACUAUUUCAGAUCAAGGAAAUGGUGGAGGCCUUGCCGUAUUUUGGGAUGAUCUGUAUACUCUAGAGCUGAAUAAGUUCGGCAAGCAUUUCAUUGACAUGUACAUUUGGUCUGGCAAUGGCACAAUAUGGAGGAGUACCUUCAUUUAUGGGGAACCAAAGGCACAUCAAAGGUACGUAAUGUGGGAGCUUUUGCACAGACUUAUACCUAUCGGUGUUGGUCCUUGGUUUAUGGUGGGGCAUUUAAUGAAGCAAUGUGGCAGACUCAACAUUUUUCCCGACAUAAGAGGUCGGAAUCGCUGA